rnacentral:rRNA from 1 species
AGCGAACGCUGGCGGCGUGCUUAACACAUGCAAGUCGAACGGUAGCAGGCCCCUUGGGGUGCUGACGAGUGGCGGACGGGUGAGUAACGCUUAGGAAUCUACCUAGUAGUGGGGGAUAACCCGGGGAAACUCGGGCUAAUACCGCGUACGCCCUACGGGGGAAAGCGGGGACUUUCGGCCGUCGCGCUAUUAGAUGAGCCUAAGUCCGAUUAGCUAGUUGGUAGGGUAAUGGCCUACCAAGG